rnacentral:rRNA from 1 species
UACGUAGGGUGCAAGCGUUGUCCGGAAUUAUUGGGCGUAAAGAGCUUGUAGGCGGUUUGUCGCGUCUGCUGUGAAAUUUCGGGGCUCAACCCCGAACUUGCAGUGGGUACGGGCAGACUAGAGUGUGGUAGGGGAGACUGGAAUUCCUGGUGUAGCGGUGAAAUACGCAGAUAUCAGGAGGAACACCGAUGGCGAAGGCAGGUCUCUGGGCCACUACUGACGCUGAGAAGCGAAAGCAUGGGGAGCGAACAGG